rnacentral:rRNA from 1 species
GACGAACGCUGGCGGCGUGCUUAACACAUGCAAGUCGAACGGAAAGGCCCUGCUUUUGUGGGGUGCUCGAGUGGUGAACGGUUGAGUAAUACGUGAUUAACCUGCCUUUGACUUUGGGAUAACUUCAGGUAACUGGUGCUAACACCUGAUAGGAGCUCCUGCUGCAUGGUGGGGGUUGGAAUGUUUCGGCGGUUGGGGUUGGACUCGCGGCUUCUCAGCUUGGUGGUGGGGUAGUGGCUUACCAAGGCUUUGACGGGUAGCCGGCCUGAGAGGGUGACCGGCCAAAUUGGGAAUGAGAUAAGACACAGACUACUACGGGAGGCAGCAGUGGAGAAUAUUGCACAAUGGGCGGAAGCCUGAUGCAGCAAAGCCGCGUGCAGGAUGACGGCAUUCGGGUUGUAAACCGCUGUCGCCUGUGACGAGGCGUGAGUGGCGGUAAUGGGUAAAGAAGCACCGGCUAACUACGUG